rnacentral:piRNA from 1 species
UCCAGGACCUCAUCCAUCUUUUAUAGCUGCC